GGCUUACCAUGCAGUCGAGGGGCAGCAUUUCAGUUUGCUUGCAAACUGGAGAUGGCGACCGGCGCACGGGUGAGUAACACGUAUCCAACCUGCCGAUAACUCGGGGAUAGCCUUUCGAAAGAAAGAUUAAUACCCGAUGGUAUAAUCAGACCGCAUGGUCUUGUUAUUAAAGAAUUUCGGUUAUCGAUGGGGAUGCGUUCCAUUAGGCAGUUGGUGAGGUAACGGCUCACCAAACCUUCGAUGGAUAGGGGUUCUGAGAGGAAGGUCCCCCACAUUGGAACUGAGACACGGUCCAAACUCCUACGGGAGGCAGCAGUGAGGAAUAUUGGUCAAUGGGCGCAGGCCUGAACCAGCCAAGUAGCGUGAAGGAUGACUGCCCUAUGGGUUGUAAACUUCUUUUAUAUGGGAAUAAAGUUUUCCACGUGUGGAAUUUUGUAUGUACCAUAUGAAUAAGGAUCGGCUAACUCCGUGCCAGCAGCCGCGGUAAUACGGAGGAUCCGAGCGUUAUCCGGAUUUAUUGGGUUUAAAGGGAGCGUAGGUGGACAGUUAAGUCAGUUGUGAAAGUUUGCGGCUCAACCGUAAAAUUGCAGUUGAUACUGGCUGUCUUGAGUACAGUAGAGGUGGGCGGAAUUCGUGGUGUAGCGGUGAAAUGCUUAGAUAUCACGAAGAACUCCGAUUGCGAAGGCAGCUCACUGGACUGCAACUGACACUGAUGCUCGAAAGUGUGGGUAUCAAACAGGAUUAGAUACCCUGGUAGUCCACACAGUAAACGAUGAAUACUCGCUGUUUGCGAUAUACAGUAAGCGGCCAAGCGAAAGCAUUAAGUAUUCCACCUGGGGAGUACGCCGGCAACGGUGAAACUCAAAGGAAUUGACGGGGGCCCGCACAAGCGGAGGAACAUGUGGUUUAAUUCGAUGAUACGCGAGGAACCUUACCCGGGCUUAAAUUGCAUUUGAAUAUAUUGGAAACAGUAUAGCCGUAAGGCAAAUGUGAAGGUGCUGCAUGGUUGUCGUCAGCUCGUGCCGUGAGGUGUCGGCUUAAGUGCCAUAACGAGCGCAACCCUUAUCUUUAGUUACUAACAGGUCAUGCUGAGGACUCUAGAGAGACUGCCGUCGUAAGAUGUGAGGAAGGUGGGGAUGACGUCAAAUCAGCACGGCCCUUACGUCCGGGGCUACACACGUGUUACAAUGGGGGGUACAGAAGGCAGCUACCUGGUGACAGGAUGCUAAUCCCAAAAGCCUCUCUCAGUUCGGAUCGAAGUCUGCAACCCGACUUCGUGAAGCUGGAUUCGCUAGUAAUCGCGCAUCAGCCAUGGCGCGGUGAAUACGUUCCCGGGCCUUGUACACACCGCCCGUCAAGCCAUGAAAGCCGGGGGUACCUGAAGUACGAACCGCAAGGAGCUCCUAGG
rnacentral:rRNA from 1 species